rnacentral:rRNA from 1 species
AGUACGGCCGCAAGGUUAAAACUCAAAUGAAUUGACGGGGGCCCGCACAAGCGGUGGAGCAUGUGGUUUAAUUCGAUGCAACGCGAAGAACCUUACCUGGUCUUGACAUCCACGGAAGUUUUCAGAGAUGAGAAUGUGCCUUCGGGAACCGUGAGACAGGUGCUGCAUGGCUGUCGUCAGCUCGUGUUGUGAAAUGUUGGGUUAAGUCCCGCAACGAGCGCAACCCUUAUCCUUUGUUGCCAGCGGUCCGGCCGGGAACUCAAAGGAGACUGCCAGUGAUAAACUGGAGGAAGGUGGGGAUGACGUCAAGUCAUCAUGGCCCUUACGACCAGGGCUACACACGUGCUACAAUGGCGCAUACAAAGAGAAGCGGCCUCGCGAGAGCAAGCGGACCUCAUAAAGUGCGUCGUAGUCCGGAUUGGAGUCUGCAACUCGACUCCAUGAAGUCGGAAUCGCUAGUAAUCGUGGAUCAGAAUGCCACGGUGAAUACGUUCCCGGGCCUUGUACACACCGCCCGUCACACCAUGGGAGUGGGUUGCAAAAGAAGUAGGUAGCUUAACCUUCGGGAGGGCGCUUACCACUUUGUGAUUCAUGACUGGGGUGAAGUCGUAACAAGGUAACC